CCUGAGUCACCCAGCCCGCGUGGGGAAGGCCGAGCCCCCAGCCCGGUCGAGGCCACGUGGCCCCUACCCGUAAGACAGCGCCCACCCCCGCAAAGAGAGGACGCCCAGGGCAGGACCUCGGGGUGCCUGGCGCCCUUCUGGCGCCGCCAGAAGGGUGCUACCUCGGGGUAGGAGAGCGGGACCCGGCGCCGCCAGGUUCUCUCUGGCUCAGGGAAGCGGAGGAGACGUGUGAGAGCCAAAGGAGGGAUGAGCGGCCCGAAGUUACUCUCUGAGCGCCCGGCCGGGCGGCAGAGCUGAGUCGAGGUGACAAGAUGGUCUUCAAGAGGCCUGCAUCGUCCACCCAGAGCCCACUCCCUUCCUCUCGCUCCAACUCCGUUCCACCCCUUCCCCGAGUCAGCAGAGGGCGCUGCUGGCUCUCUGGAAUCAGGUAGGGGCAGAAUAAACUUUCAGAAAAUCCCCAGCCUCACACCCUGGGAGUCCCCCAGCGUCCUAGAGUGGGUGUUCCUGUCCCUCUCUCUUAGUCCCUUCUCCAUUUUCUAGGGCUCCUGAGUAGUGAGCCGAAAAGUGGAGGAAGCCCUUCCCAGCACCAUUCCACCCAAUCAUGGCGCGUCAGAGUCAGGUCCCUCCCUCUGGGAGAGGAUUGCUGAGGGACGUGCCGGGCGCAGGGCCAGCGAGGUGAGGCAAUUGGUGGCCCUGUCCUCUGCCAGCAGGCAGAACCGAGCCCACACUGUGAACAGAGGCAGAAACCCUUGGUGGCAGCUGGAUGAGCUCAGAGGGAAGGACAGGUGGUGCCUCUGCCCCAGAGAAGAAAGAAAAAGAACGGAUUUCACAGAGGGGACACGGGUUCGAUCCCUGGCCCGGGAAGAUCCCACAUGCCGCGGAGCAACUAAGCCCGUGCGCCACAACUACUCAGCCUGCACUCUAGAGCCCGCGAGCCACAACUACUGAAGCCCGCGUGCCACAACUACUGAAGCCUGUGCGCCUAGAGCCCGUGCUCCGCAACAAGAGAAGCCACCACAAUGAGAAGCCCGCGCACCGCAACGAAGAGUAGCCCCCGCUCGCCGCAACUAGAGAAAGCCCACACGCAGCAACAAAGACCCAGC